rnacentral:lncRNA from 1 species
AAACAUGUAAUUUAUGAAAUGUUGUAUUUUGUUACUUUUUCUGACAGCAGUUUUUUUGUUAAAAAUUUCAAACAAACACUGCAGAUGGUGGAUAUGGUGCUAAAUUUCGAAGAAUUAGUAAAAAUACAAAAAGGCUGCACCAUACUGUGGCUUAUUGGCACUUUCCUAAAUUGCAGAUUCUAACUAGGUGGGCUUGGUGAUUGUCCAUUGAUGGGUUGCUAAUGGGCUCUACUAAUAGGCCCUUGGGCUUCUUGUUCGUAACUGCUCUUUCUUGCUAGUUGCAGCUUCAAAUACGGUAAAGUCGUGUAUAAGUAUAAUAACCUCAUCGCUCAAAUCUGCAUCAUAAUUUAGCCUUAUCACUUACUGCUCCCUCCUGUAACUUUGUUUUGCAGUCGUCUACUGGAGAUUGUAUCCACAAUCUUUGAGUGUGCUGUAAAUGAAUCCGCCCGGAGGCAGUAUUCACAGAAAUUCUGUUUGGUGUGUUCAGCAUUCACACUUCAAGCGCGCACGGGAAUUCAGUAUGUAAAAUUCCACAACGCGGAAGAGAUGAGCCCUUUUUUUAUAGCAAUGUCAACAUGUGUGAGCACCAGAUCCAGAUGUUCCGUAUAUUCUUGUUCCAGGCAAAGACUCAGAACCGAAGUGGAUCUGGUGCUCAUCAUCACGCUAUAGCCUGCUACGCUAAACGGCGCCUCUUGUGUUGAGCCCUGAAUCUUCAAACAAUCGGUAGAUGCAUUUCAACUAGCA